AGUGGAAUUGCUGGGUCGUAUGUUAAGUGUAUUUUAACUUUGAUAGAAACUGCCAACCUUUUUUCCAAAGUGGUUGUAACAUUUUACAUUUCCACCAACAAU
rnacentral:pre_miRNA from 1 species